AAAAUUAUUGAACUCAAUACAAGAUAUGUAGUAAGAAAACUACCAAUAAAUAACUCAACAUUACUUACUAAAAACCAAAAUAUAUAUAGCUGAAAAGAGAAUUUGUAAACUGAAAGCUAGGUCAGAAGAAAAUAUCCAAACUGACACAGAGACAGUUAAGAGGAUGGAAUAUAUAGAAAAGAGUAUGAAAGACUUAUUAGACAUGGUGAAAAGCUUUAUUUGAGGAAGAGAAAGGAGAGAAAAAAAUGGAAUGAAAACAAUAUUUGAAGAGAAAAAGGCCAAGAAUUUUUCAGAUUCAAGACAUGCUACAAACUCCAAGAAGGAAUGGACCCCAUCACACCCCCACACAUGAGGAUGAAUACAUGGCUCAGCUAUGGCAAAUAUAAUAGAUCUCACUGUUUAGACAGCAUUUGCUCCAGGGUUGGUCACUUUACUCAAGCUUGGAAUAUGAGACUUCCCAGGACUUCUAAAUUGAGAACGUUUACUCUCUAGUCCUGAAACGCAGUGAAGCAGUUGCCAUGGAAACAGAAUCCAAUGCCUCUUUCUGGAGCCUCACAUCAACGCAAUUUGAUGAGAAGGACUAACACACUACCUCCUACCUGUAUUUUAUACGUCUUAAGAUCUAUUGCCUGAAAAAGAUGCAAGUCAUUACUGGGAUAACAUGUUGACUCUCAUCCUGUGAUUCCGACUGGAGAAUGAAUACCACUGAUGACAGUCACAUGGCCAUGCUAACAAGCAAGGUAGGAGAGGCCAUGCAUAUUCGCUGGAGGACAUUUUCAAGAUUACUUAUACGACAGGAUAUCAUACCUAAGAUUGUACCCAAGAGUUUUAAAUUUUUUCAUGAGUAAAAUCAGUAGAAACCUUAAUUUAAAUGUGACACUAUGACCAUAUGACCAUUUUUUAGCCUUUAAAGAUGGAGACUUUAAAUUACCUGGACAGGUUCUCCCCCCACCUUUUUAUUUUGAGAAAAUCAACAGAUAAGCUCUUUAACUAACUAUACACACUUAAGGCAAGUCCUUUGUUCUUGACAAAAUUGCAGUGAUCUGUAGGCUGAGGUUAAGUGUUGUGAUUUGAUCAUUGUGUAAGGUAGAAGCAGAGCUGGAGCUCUGAGAAUGUGGACUUCAUUGCUUUUUUCAUUUUUUAGAAUUAGUUAAUUGCUUUAAAUUUUUUUGCUUUUUGUUUUGAUCUUUUUGUUUAAGUUUUGAGGAUUGCUUGCAGGAGACAAGGCACCAAAGACAUGCAGACGGGCUUUACUAAAAAACAGAGCACGAGUGGAACUGAGU